rnacentral:rRNA from 1 species
GCUUCGGCUAUCACUUCUGGAUGGACCCGCGGCGUAUUAGCUAGUUGGUGAGAUAAAGGCUCACCAAGGCAGUGAUACGUAGCCGACCUGAGAGGGUAAUCGGCCACAUUGGGACUGAGACACGGCCCAGACUCCUACGGGAGGCAGCAGUAGGGAAUCUUCCACAAUGGACGAAAGUCUGAUGGAGCAACGCCGCGUGAGUGAUGAAGGCUUUAGGGUCGUAAAACUCUGUUGUUGGAGAAGAACGUGUGUGAGAGUAACUGCUCAUGCAGUGACGGUAUCCAACCAGAAAGCCACGGCUAACUACGUGCCAGCAGCCGCGGUAAUACGUAGGUGGCAAGCGUUAUCCGGAUUUAUUGGGCGUAAAGCGAGCGCAGGCGGUCUUUUAAGUCUAAUGUGAAAGCCUUCGGCUUAACCGAAGAAGUGCAUUGGAAACUGGAAGACUUGAGUGCAGAAGAGGACAGUGGAACUCCAUGUGUAGCGGUG